GGUCCAGAGUGUGGAUGGCAAUGCCCAGUGCUGCGACUGCCGGGAGCCAGCCCCGGAGUGGGCCAGCAUCAACCUUGGUGUCACCCUCUGCAUUCAGUGUUCCGGCAUCCACAGGAGUCUUGGUGUUCACUUCUCCAAAGUCCGGUCUCUGACCCUUGACUCAUGGGAGCCAGAACUAGUGAAGCUCAUGUGCGAGCUGGGAAACGUCGUCAUCAACCAGAUCUACGAGGCCCGCGUGGAGGCAAUGGCAGUGAAGAAACCAGGGCCCAGCUGCUCCCGGUGAGCUUGGGGUUUAGCCUCCCAGGGGAAU
rnacentral:sRNA from 1 species